UAUUAUAUUUCCUAUAAAAUCACAUAAUACAUAGUAAGAAUGUAUAAGAUGAUACAAGUCAAAUCAUGGAUGCUUGGAGAUCUUGUGAUGAAGCCUGUUCUUCCCUUGGUAGCUGGGCAUGAUGUGGCCCAUCUUCAUGCUAGGCCAGCAUUCCCUUGCUUCUGUAUACCUAAUUUCUCCUUCUCAGAUGCACUCCCAACAAUGUAUGCAGAAAGCUAAAAAAAUGAAUGAGUGUAGUUAAUAAGAUGCUAUUGAAACUGAGCCCCAAAUCUAGCUCUGAGCACAAUGAUAGCUAAAACUUAAGGAGAGGCAGAUCAAAUAGAUUUCAUCACCAAAGCACAGAAGCAUAUUUGUUCAACAACAGAGCUUUGCAUUUACAAAAGAGAAAAGAGCAUGUUUGGGGUAAUUUAUUUUGAAAUUGCUCUGUCAAAAGCUAAUUUCAUUUUGUUCCAUGAGGCCAAUUUGGCUCAUAUGUUUGUGCUUUGAUAAAGGCAUAGGAAUAAUAUUAAAAUUGUUGCAACUCUACGGAGAUUAUAAAACUUUCUCAAGGCAAAUUUCUUGUCUCUGGAAAGAAAGAAUGGUGAAUAAUGAAUGACGGAAAUUUGAAAAUGAAUUCGUUCAACAAACACUUAUUGAGUGAAUGCUGUGUGCCCGAUGCGUUAAGUCUAAAUCAUCUAGUGCUGCAGUGAGUGAGCCAGGGUGAGAAAACAAUGAAAAGAGCAGACAGGUUGUUAUUCAAAAUGUCUUUUUUUUUCUCCAUGCAAUGUUUCAAAUUUGGAGAGUCAUAGUUUGUUAUUGAUCCAUCAAAUAUUAUGAACUAUAAGACCCCAAUAUACAGUGGCUUAAAAAUAGAGAUAUAUUUACCUCUCACCUAACAUACCAGGGCAUUUCCAGGUUUUAUAGUAGCUUAAUCAUGUCAGGAAACCACACUUCUUUCAUCUUCUACUCCUCUAUCCCUAUAGGCCUUUGCCUAUCAUGUGAAAAAGAGUGUUAACCAGUGGGAAAAAUAAAAAAGAAAAAAGGGAAGAGUAAUUCAUAUCAUUUGAAUUAAAUAACCUAGAAUUUGCACACAUCAUUUCUGCUUCUAUCCUUUUAACCAAAAUAGGAAGUUACGGAACACCUACUGAAGGAGCUGGGCAUAGAGUUUUGCUGGGUAGCCAGGCAGGUUAUUCUUCCCACAAAUGAAAAACACUCAUUUUUAAUGCAAUAACACAGGGAUCUGUGUUACAGGGUAACACGCAGAUCUAUUCAUUCACUAUCGCAAGGUAAAUCCCACAAUUUUUUUUUUUUGAUAAGUAAUUCCACUAGGGGUUUUUAUUUUGGUUUUUUUUUUUUUUUUUUUUUUUUUUUUUUUUUUUUGGACAGAGUCUCGCUUUU
rnacentral:lncRNA from 1 species